CUUUUACAUGUUACAUGUUUUAAUAUGAUUAUUUAUUUUGACCUACAAUAAUUACAAAUUCUAGAUAUAUCCAGCGAAAACAAAAUUCGCAUUGCAAUAAAAGCAACAAUAAACGCAUUGGACUGCGGUUUUCAGGCAACAAACACACUACUAUUUUAUGCAAGUUGUCAGAAUACAUCGUGCUCCCGACACGGUAAGACAUGCUUGUCAAUUCCUCGAACACCUGGCGUCAUCACUGAUUUUCAGUGAUCCAUUCAUAUAAUUUUCACCACUAUUUUGCCUUGUACUCCCAAUGGAAUCUGUUUCGUCGGGUAAUCAAGAUGGGUUAUUCCCUGACGUCAACGUUUUACAUUUGCGCAGUUUUAUUAUCCAUGUAUGAUGAUAGUGAGUGAGUGAGUAUGGUUUUACGCCGCUUUUAGCAAUAUUCCAGCAAUAUCACGGCGGGGGACACCAGAAAUGGGCUUCACACAUUUGUAUGAUGAUAACUGGUGAAUGGGUUAAGAAACGUUUACAAGCAAACAGAGACUCUAACUGAAUAUCCCGCCUGAUCACAUCAUACAGUGUUUACUUUCUGGUGAUGUACUCAAUGACAUCAAUGUGCACAGACCCGGACAUAGAAACAAAGACAAGGCGAUAAAUGUAUCGGUGACAUGGUACUCGACGCAUGACGGCGGGCUUUUUCAAAUAAAGAGGUCAUGCAAAUGGGGAAUCAUGAAAGACUGCCAAAGAGAUUAUUAUUACAAUGCUGACACCAGAGACUGUCAAAGCUGUGCCCAUCUGUGCCACCAGGCUGAGGUACGAGGGACGUUGCAGAAGUGUGGAGACUUAUGUCCGGUUCCGGUUACAAACCAGUUCCCACACCGAACUACGGAGAACAUGAAGACAACUGUCACGAUAAGGAUUCCAGAUGGUGUAACUGUGCACGAUGGUUCCCCUCAUGUUGUUGUCGUGGUCUGUCUGAUGUCAGUUGUCCUGACCUUCCUGGUGGUACUGAUGGUAGCUGUUGCCAUUGCCUGGGGAAGGAGAAAGAAAAAGCAACAGAGACAAAGAAUAACAGUUAACUACCGACACAGGGAUACAACCGAAGAUGACACAGAAGAAGCCUUUAGAGAAGAGCCAACCUCCAAUAUCAGCAUGUUGUCAUGAUAAUUUAUCAUCUUCUAACAAGGUGGUGUCUCUUUAACAUGGGCAUGUAUAGUACAAUCAUGAUGAUUUAAUAUCAUUCAGCAAGUGUUUUAAUUACCAAACCUUAUCAUUCAUCAUUUUCUGUCAGUGUAUGUCCAUAAACAUCUUUAUUCUGAGAUAUACGUCCAUCAUAUAGCAAUGUAAAUAUCGCCAUCAUUAUUCAACUGUUUGAAUCAAUGUUUUUCAAUGUUCUUUUUUAACAUUUAUAAUAAAAUGGUAAUCAUGCAAAGUACUUUAUGAAUGUCAUUUAGACUUUUGUGUACAAUACUGCAAUAAACAUUCAACAGCAUUUAUCAUCUAUUUAUUUUGCUGUGUUCAUCUUCAACAUUUAUAUUAAUGUCAUAUCUUUCAACACAUUGCUGGCAAUCUUCAAAAUGUUACAUGUGUACUUCAUCAUGAAAAAAAACUGCAAUUAUCAACAAAUGAUCAUCAUGAUAGAAAAAGUUUUUAGAUGUGUGUGGAAUAAUAAAUACAAAUAAAAGCUUAUCAGUUGCAAACAUGUGUAUGUCAUUUAUUAACUGUGCAAACUGUUUUGUGAUAGUAUUUAUGUAAAUUUAUGAAAAUUAUAUUGUAGUUUCUUGAUUUAGGUGAACUUUCGGACAAGUGUGCCUCUGUCAAAACACAUUGCAUGGGCAAUGAAAACGUGUGACGGAAACGGCAAAAAACUACUUUGAACACUUGACAAUUAUAUGGACCAUUACAAGGGUCUUCACGAUCGUUGUCAUCCAGAUUGCAUAUAUAGGCAAGAAGAACACUUUCACCAGACUAAAACUGCUUUGAGACUUCUAACGUUGGAACGUCAGAGAGGACUGAACCAAGACGUAGUACACCAGUCCUUACCACGUCAAAUCAAGCAUUGACCUCACAGAGAAUGAGAAAAGAUCGUAUUGUUGUACCAAGAGAAGGAAGUGAUGGGAAUUUGCUCAAAAGAUUUUUACUGGGAAGCAGUCUCUGGCACCUGUCAGCCUUGUGAUGAACUCUGCCACCAAGCCGAUGUCAGGGGGACAGGCGCACGCUGUAGAAAACUGUGUCCAGUGUCGCUGCCGGAGCCUGUGACAGCUUUAUUGAAUGCUCCAACUGCAACAACGUCUGCAACUCUACUAUCAGACGAUACCUCAAGUAGUGAACGAUAUGGGUAUGGGGCGGCAGAAUAUGCUGUCGUUAUACUGGCUGUGAGCAUCCUCCUGAUUUCUCUGGUGUCCUCGGCAGUUUUGUUCAGAAGAGAAAUAUAUUUGAUCUUUUACAGGCUAAAAGUAAAGUACUGUCAACGUUGUAAACCCAGUUCAAAUCUGAGAAGACAAGUAUAAUAGUUUGCGUCUGUUCGAUUUUAUCCUAUUUUUCUUCAUUACUGCCAUUCUUAUUUUAAGCCCAUUUAUCAAAAUCAGAGAAUGUUUCCUCGUUUUCAAGUCCGUAUUCUAUCUCCUAAGAUGACCCAAAUCUGAAACUAUAGUAGAGACACAUUUUUUCGAUUGUUCAAACAGACACACCAGCACGAAUGUUAAUUAGAACAUGAAAUGUAUAACAAAUGUAAAUAUGAAUGUAUUCUAUCAUAUUGUAUCUUCAGGCUUCAUUUCCCAAUCAAUUGAAAAUAAUUAUUACUAUUUUCAAGCAGUUCUGAAAAUGUAUUUUCGAUUAGUGUAAUAUAGCUAAAUUAAAGAAAAUUAGUUAUCAGAUUUUUCAGAUUUGAUCAUUUCAUAUAAAAUAAAUUGGAUGUCAAUUUGCGUUGCGUUUUAUUACUUACUGUAAAGGAGGGUCAAUGAACAUGAUGGCGAGUUAAUCAAAUUUAAACCCAUGUUCAUAAAUGCUUGGAGUGUUUAUUCCACUUAACUUGUUGAUAUUAAAUUUACGAUAAAAUCUAUAAAAUGACGAUGUGAUUUUGCAACGUGUGUAUUGAGGUUUCACGCGAAAAAAGUAGACCCAGUCGGAAGAAGCAAUAAAUGGAAUGAAUCGAUAUCGACUGCAGGGUACAUUCAGUCUGCAGUCUUGCUCUAUGUAAAUUGCAAACAAGCGCAAAGGCGCACAAACAAAGACCUGUCAUAUUUGUGAAGAGUAUUGUUUAUUUUUAAAGCUGCGAACAGAAAGUUACAUGGGUGUAUAAUAAUAUUUAUGUGAACAGUUCAUCAUAUCCCAGAAUGUAUACAAUGUGACAAUUUAAUAUUUAAAUGAAGAUACAUGUUGCUCGUAAAUAUAAAGUUAUCUAAUAGUAUUAAGUCCAAAUGCCCAAGUUGAUUUUACAAAGUUUUGAUAGAUAUAUUAAUUGACCUCUCCAAAAAAUCUCGGAAGCGAGAUUUUGGGAAUUCCCAUUUACGUCACAGUCCGGUCAUGUGACCUAAUAUUUGUGGUGGCGUGAUCCAUAUAGGUCAUCUGCCACAAAGGUCAUCCGCCAUAGUGAGAUCCAGGGUAUAAAAUAGGGAAUGUUUCUAUCAACGAUUUAGAAUGGUCUGCCCCACCACCAAAUCCUGGAGGGUCACUACAGACCCCCUAAAUCAGUACUGGGGUGACGUAACACUGGAAAGAAGACUUGAUUUGGAUAGAGUUUAUCACUCUCAUGUCCGACUCAGUCGAAACAGAUGUUUGGAGGGUGUUGGUUAAACCUCAUACGAACAUAGUACGAUUCCUUUUGGCAUCUGUGUUACUAUGUCUAGUAGCAGGGAAGCCGAUAUGUGAAGGGGGGACAUACUAUGACAUCGUUACCGACAAUUGUGACCCUUGUAGUCAUAUAUGUGACUAUUCCGAGGCACAGAAGACAACAACAGAAUGCGAAACUAAGUGUCCAGGUAAGAUUAACGCUAGCUCUGCUUCACAUGACCCUUGUUUAUUCGCAUCGCGUUGUGAUGUAAUAGCCAGUACGUUACAUGGUUGCAGUCGUAAAACGCGUACAGUACACUAACUGUAACUUGAUUUUAUUGUCCCUUUUCAUAAAUACUUAUCACACGUUUGACAUUAAGAAAAGGAGAAUGCAGAGCCUGUGCCAUUUUAUUUGCAAACGUAUAUAUGCAUUUCAUUUGUUGUGUGUCCAGGUGGGUUUAGAAUUUGCUUCAUUGAGACCAGGGAGAGUGAUUUUAAAAAUCUAUUUUCCUUCUAGAAUAUGGUAAGAGAGGAUCUCUCCAUCAACCAGGGAGCGUGAUAAUGAAAAUCUAUUUUCCGUCUAGAAUAUGGUAAGAGAGUAUAUCUCCAUCAACCAGGGAGCAUGAUUAUGAAAAUCUAUUUUCCUUCUAGAAUAUGGUAAGAGAGGAUCUCUCCAUCAACCAGGGAGCGUGAUUAUGAAAAUCUAUUUUCCUUCUAGAAUAUGGUAAGAGAGGAUCUCUCCAUCAACAGAAAUGCCCCUAUCUACAAUAUUAUGACGACGUUGUGUCCCGAUGUGACUCCUGUGAGAGCAUCUGCCUCCAUGCUGGACCACAGGAUCCGGGCCAUCAAGAAACAUGUCGACGUCUCUGCCCUGAAUGGCCUGGUUAUAGCAUUACAACUGUGUCUCCACAAGAUUCCACCAUGAAAAAUCCUCAGAAUAAAUCACUCGCCAAAGACAAUCUGCCUUAUACAUUGGGCAGCAACGUUAUCAUCAUACUGGCGACGUGUGUCAUAGCGGUUGCUGUUGUUGGCCUUCUGUGUGUGGGCGUGAUAAGGAGGAAGAAGUCUUUCUGUCAGCGACAGCAUCAUCCAAAACCAACACCAGAACUCUUGACUGGCGAAGGAAACCCUCUCACUCAGCCCGAGGAUGACAAACAGUUUCAAGGAAGAUAGUUCAUGCUACAUAGAUCUUAUCAAAACAAUGUUAUGUCAACAUGUAUUUUAAUGUAAUAAAUAUAUCUUAAUAUUAA